rnacentral:rRNA from 1 species
AUUGAACGCUGGCGGCAGGCCUAACACAUGCAAGUCGAGCGAGCGGCGGAGGGGUGAGUAAUGUGUGGGGAACAGCCUGAGGGAGGGGGGGAACUACUGUAAACGGUAGCUAAUACCGCAGACCACCAGAUGUGCCCAGAUGGGAUUAGCUAGUGGGUGGGGUAACGGCUCACCCAGGCGACGAUCCCUAGCUGGUAUGAGAGGAUGACCAGCCACACUGGAACUGAGACACGGUCCAGACUCCUACGGGAGGCAGCAGUGGGGAAUAUUGCACAAUGGGCGCAAGCCUGAUGCAGCCAUGCCGCGUGUGUGAAGAAGGCCUUCGGGUUGUAAAGCACUUUCAGCGGGGAGGCGUUACCCGCAGAAGAAGCACCGGCUAACUCCGUGCCAGCAGCCGCGGUAAUUC